rnacentral:rRNA from 1 species
AUCGAACGCUGGCGGCAGGCUUAACACAUGCAAGUCGAGCGGGCGAGGUUGCUUCGGUAACUUAGCUAGCGGCGGACGGGUGAGUAAUGCUUAGGAAUCUGCCUAUUAGUGGGGGACAACAUUUCGAAAGGGAUGCUAAUACCGCAUACGUCCUACGGGAGAAAGCAGGGGCUCUUUAUGACCUUGCGCUAAUAGAUGAGCCUAAGUCGGAUUAGCUAGUUGGUGGGGUAAAGGCCUACCAAGGCGACGAUCUGUAGCGGGUCUGAGAGGAUGAUCCGCCACACUGGGACUGAGACACGGCCCAGACUCCUACGGGAGGCAGCAGUGGGGAAUAUUGGACAAUGGGGGGAACCCUGAUCCAGCCAUGCCGCGUGUGUGAAGAAGGCCUUUUGGUUGUAAAGCACUUUAAGUGGGGAGGAGGCUUACCUGGUUAAUACCUGGGCUAAGUGGACGUUACCCACAGAAUAAGCACCGGCUAACUCUGUGCCAGCCGCCGCAGUAA